UUCACCUACGGGGGGCAGCAGUGAGGAAUAUUGGUCAAUGGGCGCGAGCCUGAACCAGCCAAGUCGCGUGAGGGAAGACGGUCCUAUGGAUUGUAAACCUCUUUUGUCGGGGAGCAAAAGACGCCACGCGUGGCGUUCCGAGAGUACCCGAAGAAAAAGCAUCGGCUAACUCCGUGCCAGCAGCCGCGGUAAUACGGAGGAUGCGAGCGUUAUCUGGAUUUAUUGGGUUUAAAGGGUGCGCAGGCGGAAGAUCAAGUCAGCGGUAAAAUCGCGGGGCUCAACCUCGCU
rnacentral:rRNA from 1 species